UUUUUUUUUGGUUUUUGA
rnacentral:sRNA from 1 species